rnacentral:lncRNA from 1 species
CUGGAGGAGAGUCCUAUGACCAGGGAGAGUCUGAACACUGAGCUGUCAAGUGACAUUUAUUGUUCUGCAGCCGGUUCAGGUUGGUUGGUAGAAGUGGCCAGUUUUCAGGUGACUUGGUACCGCUUCAUCCUCCAACUCACCACAUUUACAUCAGUCCCAGGAAACCACCAUGAGUGACUCUACCUAGCUCCCAGGACUUACUUAAUGUCUUUCUAGAGUUCAUCUGUACUUGCUCUGUCCUGUCACGAUUCCUAAUACAUCCAUCCUAUGACAUUUAUGGUGUCUCCUUUACAAGACCCUAAAGGAAAUGAUAGGAGAUGUAAGAGCAAAAAAGAAUGAAUUUAUGAAAUUCCUAGCCAAAUGGAUGGACCUGGAG